rnacentral:rRNA from 1 species
UGGGGAAUUUUGGACAAUGGGCGAAAGCCUGAUCCAGCCAUGCCGCGUGCAGGAUGAAGGCCUUCGGGUUGUAAACUGCUUUUGUACGGAACGAAAAAGUCUUCUCUAAUACAGGGGGCGAAUGACGGUACCGUAAGAAUAAGCACCGGCUAACUACGUGCCAGCAGCCGCGGUAAUACGUAGGGUGCGAGCGUUAAUCGGAAUUACUGGGCGUAAAGCGUGCGCAGGCGGUUAUAUAAGACAGAUGUGAAAUCCCCGGGCUCAACCUGGGAACUGCAUUAGUGACUGUAUAGCUAGAGUGCGGCAGAGGGGGAUGGAAUUCCGCGUGUAGCAGUGAAAUGCGUAGAUAUGCGGAGGAACACCGAUGGCGAAGGCAAUCCCCUGGGCCUGCACUGACGCUCAUGCACGAAAGCGUGGGGAGCAAACA